UACGUAGGGUGCAAGCGUUAAUCGGAAUUACUGGGCGUAAAGCGUGCGUAGACGGUAGCGUAAGUCAGAUGUGAAAGCCCCGGGCUCAACCUGGGAACUGCAUUUGAGACUGCUCUGCUCGGGUGCGGAAGAGGGAAGCGGAAUUUCCGGUGUAGCGGUGAAAUGCGUAGAUAUCGGAAGGAACACCAGUGGCGAAAGCGGCUUCCUGGUCCGACACCGACGUUCAGGCACGAAAAGCGUGGGGAGCAAACAGG
rnacentral:rRNA from 1 species